GGAGAGGUGCAGGAGUGGUUGAACUGGCCGCUCUCGAAAAGCGGUAUACGGCAACGUAUCGAGGGUUCGAAUCCCUCCCUCUCCGCCA
rnacentral:tRNA from 1 species